AAAGUAGUCCUUCCAAUCAUUUAACAUUCAUUUACUUGCAGAAAAAUGGCGCAAGUAUGCAGAGUCUGCAUGGCACCGCCAGUCUCCGGACCAUUCAAAAACAUUUUUGAUGAGCCACAGAACUGGGACACUUGCAUUGCUGACAUGAUAGCGGAGUGCACCGGGUACGUGGUUUGUCGAUUGGACUUACUGCCGGAAAACAUAUGUCCGCCCUGCCUUGAGGAUGCAGUGAGUGCAUUCAGCUUUAAGAAGACCUGCGAGCAGAGCCAUAGGCUCUAUAUUCCAGUGUUGGAGGAGGCUGGAGGAGAAGACAUCUGUCAUAAUCUGGAAGACGAUGAGGAUUGGGAACAUUCAGAUAGUGGAAAUGAGCUAACGAACCAAUUUGAAAAUGCAAAGGUUCACGGUGAUAAGGAUGUCGAUCAUCAGUUCAAAUGUAGUCUUUGCCCAAAGAGCUAUACGCACAAAUCGAAUCUAAAUAGACACAAACAAUUACACACUGAAGAACGAACCUACAAAUGCUCCGACUGCUGUGAGCCACAGAACUGGGACACUUGCAUUGCUGACAUGAUAGCGGAGUGCACCGGGUUCACGGUGAUAAGGAUGUCGAUCAUCAGUUCAAAUGUAGUCUUUGCCCAAAGAGCUAUACGCACAAAUCGAAUCUAAAUAGACACAAACAAUUACACACUGAAGAACGAACCUACAAAUGCUCCGACUGCUGUGAGCCACAGAACUGGGACACUUGCAUUGCUGACAUGAUAGCGGAGUGCACCGGGUUCACGGUGAUAAGGAUGUCGAUCAUCAGUUCAAAUGUAGUCUUUGCCCAAAGAGCUAUACGCACAAAUCGAAUCUAAAUAGACACAAACAAUUACACACUGAAGAACGAACCUACAAAUGCUCCGACUGCUGUGAGCCACAGAACUGGGACACUUGCAUUGCUGACAUGAUAGCGGAGUGCACCGGGUUCACGGUGAUAAGGAUGUCGAUCAUCAGUUCAAAUGUAGUCUUUGCCCAAAGAGCUAUACGCACAAAUCGAAUCUAAAUAGACACAAACAAUUACACAC